GACGAACGCUGGCGGCGUGCUUAACACAUGCAAGUCGAACGGAAAGGCCCUGCUUUUGUGGGGUGCUCGAGUGGCGAACGGGUGAGUAACACGUGAGUAACCUGCCCUUGACUUUGGGAUAACUUCAGGAAACUGGGGCUAAUACCGGAUAGGAGCUCCUGCUGCAUGGUGGGGGUUGGAAAGUUUCGACGGUUGGGGAUGGACUCGCGGCUUAUCAGCUUGUUGGUGGGGUAGUGGCUUACCAAGGCUUUGACGGGUAGCCGGCCUGAGAGGGUGACCGGCCACAUUGGGACUGAGAUACGGCCCAGACUCCUACGGGAGGCAGCAGUGGGGAAUAUUGCACAAUGGGCGGAAGCCUGAUGCAGCAACGCCGCGUGCGGGAUGACGGCCUUCGGGUUGUAAACCGCUUUCGCCUGUGACAAAGCGUGAGUGACGGUAAUGGGUAAAGAAGCACCGGCUAACUACGUG
rnacentral:rRNA from 1 species